ACUCCGCUUGCCUUUUCUCUCCUUUUUAUUCGAAAGCGGAAACCAGACGGCCCAAGCGGAAACCAGCACAGUCCCGUCCUGCCGCCAGCGAGGCCUUCCCCCUCGCCCGCCUCCCUCCGCCGCCGGCCUCCGGGACCCGUCUCCCCGCACCAUCCCGCAGGUGUGCGGCCUCUGGCGGGGGGGGGGGGGGGGGGAUCUGAAGGACCCCGGCGGAGGUAGAGGUGUCUCCUCUUCCCCCAAACCCAUCCUCAGACUUGCUCCAGAAAGUUUGGAGGGUGGGUACACCCUGACUCAGGCAACCCGCUCCCCCAAACCCAUGGCUGACUAAUAUGAUAUGACAAAAGCCGGUGAUGGAUUUGGUAUAUGUUAAUUCACAAUGCCCUUUCCUCCAGAAUUUAACUAUAAGUUAAUACACACCGGAAACCACGCGCAUACACGCUCCUCGUUAAUGGGCUUAGGUAUUAGCGAGCCCUAACGAUGCAUACAAAUGUGUUCUGCGCUCUGUAGGCCCCUCAAGAUUUAUGGGCCUUGAGCUCUCUGAAGCUGUAAACAAGGAGAAAAAAAAGAGAAAGGAGAGAGAGACUGGGGGAAAGAGACAGAGGCCUGACUCACCCCUCCAGAUUGUGGGAGAGAAGGGAUCUUUGCAAGUGGGUUCCUAAGUCUUUUGCUUUCCUUACAAGCUCGGGGUGUGUGGUUUGGGGCAUUGGGCUGGGGCUGGGGUGGGGGUUGCGCCUGGACGCUGGUGUGCGUGGGCAGUGUGCUGUUUGCGAGCUGGGUUGGGGGAAAAGCUUCCUAUGAACUGCUGUGCGGGGCCCGCAUCUAGCAGGCACCCGUGGGCAAGUAUCUGCGGGUGUGCACACUGUGCUAGGUGUGCGUGUGUGUGUGCGUGUGUGCGCGCGCGCGCCUGUGUGCCUGUGUGACAAGCAGGCCUCCCUCUGGGCCUGGUGGCUGUCCCCUGAACCCUGCGAACAAAUCUCUAACAACAAUCAUAAUAACAAUAAAUAAUAAAUAACAAUAAAACGGUAGUUAACAGUCCCUCCCUAGCAGGAUAACAAUAAAAUGCAAGAGGAGAUAUUUUGAGGAGGGGCCGGGGAAGGAGUCGGGAUCACAGCAUCCGAGGGGAAGACAAGGGAGGAAGGAAGGAAGUUAGCUUUUUCCUAAGCCCUUGGAGGGCUGGAUUUAGGAACCCCCUCUCCAGACAAGGUCCUCCGGCCGAGGAGGAGAGGGAGAGCCCCCGGAGGCCGCUCUUUCCUGCUUCGUUUUCUCCGGCUUUUGCUUUGUGCGAUCGGGGGAGGGAUCCCACAUUAUGGGGGUGAAUUGUGGCUUUGGGGAGCCUCUGGAGCCCUUGUUUUAAAGAGGAGGGCAAGCAAAGAGGGUCACGGUGAGGGGGAGGAGGGGGGGGGCAGAUGAGGCGAUGGCCAGAACCAGGGUCCUAAACACUCGGGCAACAGAAGUGCCCGGGGAGGACGUGCCGCCGGGUAUGGACGGAAGCAGAAAAACAUUUAUGGCCGCCCGAGAGUGGGGAGAGCAGGGCCGGGGUUUCCGGUAGGCCCAGGGAAAGUUCCCUUUCUAGGGGCUUUUCAAACCACACAAACAAAAACAACAACAACAACAACAAAAAGAAAAGAAGAAGGAGGAGGAGGAGGAAGGAUUUGAGGCGCGCUGAAUUUUCCUUCGCGGGCUUGGAGCGAGCGGAUUGCCAUAAAGGAAGCGAAGACCACGAUCCCGGAUUCUUCCACGUCCACCUCAUUUUCUCCAGGCCUCUCCAUUUGCCGGAUCUCUCAACCACCGGGAGACUAACACAAUGGGGGCUCCUGGACUGCCCCCCAGCCACUCCUGGAUGGUUUCCCAAAGCCUAGCUACCUCCAACCCUCCUUGUGUGUUGGGGUAGGGAAUAGCUGUACCCAGACACCUCUGCACCCUGUCAUAUGUAAAGCGUGCUCACUUGAAGAAUAUCUUGAAGAAGAAGGAGAAGAAGGAGGAGGAGAAGGCAGGCCAGCUUAGAGCUGUGUUUACUUCUAGUUCUACUGAUCCGUUCUCAUCUGGAGACUUUAUUUAUAACCCCCACUAUAACUCUCUCUGUUUGGAGGCACUGGUGGUUCUAUUGACAGACUGAUGUCUAGAAAAUAUUGCUCUAUCUCUAACCAUCCCUAAAUGUGCUGUGCUUGUAUUUACAGAUUUAUGCUGGAGGAAAAUAUAAUUAUUUCCAUUGUA